GGUGUAGAGGAAGAAGAAAUUCGGUAAAUGAGAGCCUGGCGCAAGACGGCACUGCCGUAACUUUGGGCAUUACAAUAAUAAAGAGCCGAGUUAGGGCCCAGUCCAUGGAGAGAAGAAAGCAAGGAAUGAGAUGAAGGAGAAGGCGCAGCCCGUGAGUUCGGCUAUUUCCAUAAUCCGAUCGCACACUACCUUUUGGACCAAUGAAAAGCUCGAUUUUACGCGACACGUGCUCUGCCUGAACUCUUCCCUUUGUAAGACAUCGAUAUUGACGUAGAGAAUACCAAACAUUUUUUUAAUAA